rnacentral:rRNA from 1 species
UACAGAGGGUGCAAGCGUUGUUCGGAAUUAUUGGGCGUAAAGGGCGCGUAGGCGGUGCUGUAAGUCUGUAGUGAAAUCUCUGGGCUCAACUCAGAGUCUGCUAUAGAAACUGCAGUGCUGGAGUGUGGGAGAGGUGAGUGGAAUUCCCGGUGUAGCGGUGAAAUGCGCAGAUAUCAGGAGGAACACCGGUGGCGAAGGCGGGACUCUGGGCCGAUACUGACGCUGAGGAGCGAAAGCGUGGGGGGAGCAAACAGG